AUUGAACGCUGGCGGCAGGCCUAACACAUGCAAGUCGAGCGAGCGGCGGACGGGUGAGUAAUGUCUGGGAAACUGCCUGAUGGAGGGGGAUCACUACUGGAAACGGUAGCUAAUACCGCAUACCAUCAGAUGUGCCCAGAUGGGAUUAGCUAGUAGGUGGGGUAACGGCUCACCUAGGCGACGAUCCCGAGCUGGUCUGCGAGGAUGACCAGCCACAAGGGAACUGAGACCCGGUCCAUACGCCGACGGGAGGCAGCAGUGGGGAAUAUGGAACAAUGGGCGCAAGCCUGAUGCAGCCAUGCCGCGGGUGUGAAGAAGGCCUUCGGGUUGUAAAGCACUUGCAGCGGGGAGGCGUUACCCGAAGAAGAAGCACCGGCUAACUCCGUGCCAGCAGCCGCGGUAAUUC
rnacentral:rRNA from 1 species